rnacentral:rRNA from 1 species
UACGGGGGGUGCGAGCGUUGUCCGGAAUCACUGGGCGUAAAGGGCCCGUAGGUGGUCUGAUAAGGGUGUGGUGAAAGCCCGGGGCUCAACCCCGGGUCGGCCGUGCCGACUGUUAGACUAGAGUGCUGUAGGGGCAGGCGGAAUUCCGGGUGUAGCGGUGGAAUGCGUAGAGAUCCGGGGGAAGACCGGUGGCGAAGGCGGCCUGCUGGGCAGUUACUGACACUGAGGCGCGACAGCGUGGGGAGCAAACAGG